GGAGGAAAAGAAACCAACUGGGAUUCCCUUAGUAACGGCGAGCGAACAGGGAAGAGUCCAGCGCCGAAUUCCGCGCUCUUUGCGGGCGUCGGAAAAUGUGGCGUUUAGGAGGGAGCGUGCCGGGAGUCUGACCUUGCAGCAAGUCCCCCUGACCGGGGCAGUUACCCAGAGUGGGUGCGAGGCCCAUAGCUGCUCGGUCUCUCUCGGAUGCGACCUCUUGGGAGUCGGGUUGCUUGGGAGUGCAACCCUAAUUGGGUGGUAAACUCCACCUAAGACUAAAUACGGCCGUGAGACCGAUAGCAAACAAGUACCGUGAGGGAAAGUUGCAAAGAACUUUGAAGAGAGAGUUCAAGAGUACGUGAAACUGCUCAGAGGCAAACGGGUGGGCCCUCGAAAUCCGUAGGCGGGGGAUUCAGUCGGGAGGUGUGGGCUCGUGCGCCGGUCGUUUCCUCGGACCCUUGACUGGGCCGGGCCGGCGUCGCAGUCUCCGCACGACCCGACGCACUUCCUCCCGCCCCAAGGACGCCGCAGCCGGUUGGGUAGCUGCGCGAGUCGGCCAUAAGGACGGGCGCGGAAGGUGGCCAGUGGCGUUCCCCGUGUUCGUCGCUGGUCGUUAUCCAGCCCGCCCGUGGCGCGACACCCGACCGAGGUCGAUGGGUCCCGGUUAGGACCUUGCCGUCCCCUCCCCCGUGGUCGAGCGGGCGCUCCAGCAGGCGAUUCCCCUUGCGGUCGUCCCACUCUCCGAGUGGCCGGCCCUCGGGUGGCGCCGUUGGUGAGGACGCGUCCCGCGCGGGGUUCGGAAGGCUUGCGGCGAGUAGGUCGGUCACCCACCCGACCCGUCUUGAAACACGGACCAAGGAGUCUAACAUGUGCGCGAGUCACGGGGUCUUGUUCAGGCCCAGAGGCGCAAUGAAAGUGAAGGCCGGCCUCGACGCCGGCCGUGUUGGGACUCUCCGCCUCGAGCGGGGAAGCACCAACGACCCGCCCUAUCCGAUUCAUCGGUUGGGCGGAGUGUGAGCGUACACGUUGGGACCCGAAAGAUGGUGAACUAUGCCUGGGCAGGACGAAGCCAGAGGAAACUCUGGUGGAGGUCCGUAGCGGUUCUGACGUGCAAAUCGAUCGUCAGACCUGGGUAUAGGGGCGAAAGACUAAUCGAACCAUCUAGUAGCUGGUUCCCUCCGAAGUUUCCCUCAGGAUAGCUGGCGCUCGGAGGAAUCAGUCUCAUCCGGUAAAGCGAAUGAUUAGAGGCCUUGGGGCCGAAACGACCUCAACCUAUUCUCAAACUUUAAAUGGGUGAGAAGUCCGGCUUGCAUGAUCGAAGCCCGGACGUUUCAGGAUGAGAGCGCCCAGUGGGCCACUUUUGGUAAGCAGAACUGGCGCUGUGGG
rnacentral:rRNA from 1 species